UGCAGUGGAAGUUCAGUGUUUAAGAUGUUGGACUUCUGAUCAGAAGGUCAUGAGUUCAAACCCCAGCACUGCCA